AGUAUUGUUUUCGCGUCAAUUGAAUUACAAGGGACUAUCCCAAAAGAAAUUGGUCUUCUCUCCAAGCUCACUCAUCUCGAUUUGUCCAAUAAUUUUCUUGGCGGUGAGUUACCUCCUUCACUGGGAAAUCUCUCCAAGCUCAUUCAUCUCGAUUUGUCCAAUAAUCGUCUUGGCGGUGAGGUACCUCCUUCACUGGGAAAUCUCUCCAACCUCACUCAUCUCGAUUUGUCCAAUAAUUUUCUUGGCGGUGAGAUACCUCCUUCAAUAGGAAAUCUUAAACAAUU
rnacentral:lncRNA from 1 species